UCACUUUUAAUUAAUUUCCUAAAAUGUCCCUGCCAGUAUCUUUCCCUAACCCAAAAAUUAGAAAAUAAAGUUUCAUAUUUCAAAGCAAACUCCUUGCUCCAUUCAAUUUUAUUAUGCAAAAAUCCCCAUAUUUUACAACAACAAUAAUAAUAUAUAACUAUCUAGGGUUUUUCUUCUUCCUAAAUACCGCUAGCCCUAUUCCAUGAAAAUAAAUAACCCUAAUAUUUUUCCCUUCAAUUUCAAGGCUUCAGGGUUUUGAUUCUCUUCUAUUUUUUAGACGAUUGGCUUUGAAUUGUUUUUUUUUUUGCUUCGUUGCAAAGAUUGCUUCUUCUUUUUUUUUUGAAUAUUCCCGGAAGUUUUAGCGACUUGGUCUUUGUUUUCCGAUAAAGUGAUGGCUACUACGGGAGUAGAGGAGGUGGAAUACGAGAGUGAUCCAGAGGAGGUGAAGCGUUCUCUGGCAAUGCGGAGGAGGGAGGCGGCCAGUGACGAUGACGAAGGAGAAAGGGACGAAGAGAAUAAUGCUGAGGCGAGGAUGGAUCGAAGGUCUGUGAUUCGUUCCGAUGAAUCCGACGGUCAGGGCGGUGCUGCAGAUUACGAUGAUGGCGUAGAAGAAUUGGACUUAGAAGAAGUCGAAGAAGAAGUUUAUGAUGAAUACGAGGAAGAGGAAGAAGAAAUUGAUGAAGAGGAGAUAGAUGAAGUUGGUAAAGUAGAAGUGCGAGGCAAUGUGAAGAUAACUGGAGACGAUGUGAAGGAAGCGGUUGUGGAGAAUGGGAAUGUGGAUGAAGGACUGGGCAUUGAUAAUAAUCACAUUGGAGAGGAACAUGGAGAGGAAAAGAAGGAGAAUGAGCCCUUUGCUGUGCCCACUGCUGGGGUGUUUUAUAUGCACGAUGAUAGAUUUCGAGACAACGUUGGCGGUCGUCAUAGGCGAACACGUUGUGGAAGGAAUUUGUGGGAAUCCAAGGAUGAUAGGAAAUGGGGACAUGACAAGUUUGAGGAGAUGACUUUGCAAGAAAAGCAUUAUGAAGAGGGACUAUCUUCUAGAGGUAGGUAUCGAGCUCAGAGUAAAAAUCGUGGACCAGAUCGUGGUUAUCGUAGAGGAAGUGGGUCCAAAGCAUUUGGGAAAAACAACCACCAGAAUAUGGCUCCAAAGGUGGUGAGAGGGAGAGGACCUAGGAGGUAUGAACCUAAUAUGAAAAUCAGCAGUCAAGCACCUCCAAUACAGGGCAGACUGUCUGGAAAGCCUCUUGAGAAAACAUCACAAGCCAAUUCAGGUAGAGCUUCCACCCUUGCAACAAAUGCCAGUACUGUAUCAGAUCCUAAUCCGAAACAUAUAUUUGCGUCAAGCUUGAGUUCUGCUUCCCCACCUUUUUAUCCAGCGGCGUCUUCCAACAAAGACACUGCUUUAACUCAGAAGAAAGAUGUGCAUGCUGAAAGUGUGAGCGGGAAUCUUUGCCCUUCUGUUACAGAUGAGAAUUUUUCUGCUUCACAAUCUAAUUCAUUACGAGGGAAGAAUGUGGUUGAUUCUCUCAGCAUGGCAAAGCUUUAUAUUGAUGAUCCCAGCUUGUCUGCUUCUGCGAAGCCUUUGACCAAUAUGCAGAUGGUACCUUCUGGAUCUUCAUUGGGUAAUACUAGCAAACCCACUCAGUCCAGGGUACAGGGUAGAGUUGUAGCUAUCCCAGGAUUGAAGGCUUGUCAGCCAGCUCCUCAUCAGAACCAAAUCAAUAGAGUUUCUCCACCAACACAGAUCAUUGCUGUUCAGAGAAAUCCUGUUCAAGGGUACUCUGUGCAAGGGGCUGCUCAGCAGCUGGGCCAGCAUACUGGUAUGCCUCAAGCUUCGUCUCCACCCAAGACAGCUACGUCAGUCAAUUCCUAUGAAUCUGGAGAGGUUGAAUCUUCAGAAACAAGUAAACCCUUGGUGAGCAAGGGAAAAAGCUGUGUUCAAGGGGCUGGAAGAGGCUCUUUUCUGUACAGUGGAGCUCAGGUUAUGGGACCAACAGGGACUAUGGCUGUCGGCCAUGGUGAUAAAAACUUUCCUGCCUUUUUGCCAGUUAUGCAAUUUGGGGGUCAGCACCCUGGUGGCCUCAGUGUUCCUGCUGUUGGCAUGGCAUUUCCUGGAUAUGUUGCCCAGCCACAACUUGGUUUGGGAAAUUCAGAAAUGACGUGGUUACCAGUACUUACAAGUGCCGCUGGGGCUUUAGGGGCAACAUAUUGUUCACCUUAUAUCACUGUUGAUGGGGCUUAUCAUGCUCGUACCUCUGGACAGACAUCUUCAACAGGAUCCUCAAGCAAAGAAAAAAAUUCGAACAAACCAAAUAGUGAAUGGAAGCCAUCACAAAGACCUGAGGCUGUGAGUGAUGAAUUUGGGCAACGACAAAAUAACCCAAAUAAGCAGCCUCGCAGAUACUCCGAGAUGAGCUUUAGCAAGUGAUUUACUCAUUUAAGAUGGAGCCUGUAGCAAUAAACUGAUAAAGGCCUUUCUUUCGGGCCCUUUGUGGUCUCCAGCUUUUGACCUGGACCACUUUGGGCCACAAUUUGUUCCAGGAUAUUGUAGGUAAUCAGACUUCAUCCGUAGUUAUAUAUGAAAUGCCUGGUCAUGCUACAUUCAGUUUAAGAAUCUUAUUGUGGCUUGACGGGUAGCAUUCCCUCGUUUAAAUGUGCGGUUUUUCUUGUGGCUUGAUUUUUCUAGUGAAGCUUGUGAGAAAUUUAGGCUGGCUUCCCCAUGAAAGUAUGAACAAGAAUUGUUGUGCGGCAGCUGUUUGGUUGGCGAAUUUUAGAUUAUUAUUAUUAUAUGCAUAGAUGGUGUUGAUAUUUGUGUUUGGUGAAGCUUACUUGGCUGCUUGUUGAUGAGUUAAGUCUGGUGUUGGUGGAGCAUAGAUGGUUUUGGUAUUUGUGUUUCUUACUUUGUAUUAUUUGAGCAGUGGAUCAUUUAAUUUAAUCAGUUAAAUGGGGGUGCUAAGUUGGUUUUGAAGCAUUAUUUUCAAAGCUUCUCCUUGUUUUUCUGUAUUGAGUUUGGUUGUACAUACGUAACAGGGCAAGCUUAGCUGAUGAUAUCUCUUGGAUGUUGUGAAAUGUGAUUAGCAUUGUAGCAUAUAUAUAUGUAUAGCUUUAGAUUGAGUCAUAAAGUGGUUGAUGAGUGAGUCAUCUGAUCUCUUGUGCUCUCCCUCCUGUAUUGGAUGUGCUUUAAGUAAUCUGCCUUUUUUAAACUUGUUUAACAUAAUUUUAAAAUAUAGAAAUGGUUUAUGUUGACGUUUUGUUCUAUUAAA